ACACCUUCAGUCAUGCUGUGUACAGUAGCCUACUCAGGAAGGCAUUAUUCAUGUAUUUUGAUGUGUGAAUGGUACACUUCUGAGUAGAGUAAUGUGCAACAUGGACAACAUUCGUAGU
rnacentral:precursor_RNA from 14 species